ACUUUCCUCCCUCCUCCGUCCUGCCCCAGGAGAUUCUCCUCUACUUAGGGCCAAUCUCAGAAGAGCUGGAGUUUGUCUGUUUGGUAUUAAUUGUAAGGUAUUAUUUCCUUCCAGGGGAGCACUGACCAUCUGUGAUGAGAAAGGUCACAAGCGGAGACAAAAAAGUUUUGAAGAUGGAGAAAGAUCAUCUUGUUUCCAGAUUUUCAAAGGACCUGCCUGGACAUGGACCCACUGGUUAGAAAGUGCUGUCAUAAUGAGCAUUCUUAAAAAUAAUAAAAGAUUAAUAUUCCAGCUAUCCUUCUCUCCUCUUAACAGGUAAAGUUAUCUAUAUAGCAGCAAUAGAAUGAGGAUGAAAGCUGAGGCUCAGGGUGUCUGUUCUUCCUCAUCAGUUGCACUGCACUACCACUUUCUGCUUCCUCCAAUGACCCCACCAUCUAAAGGCACCAGAUCGGAGAUCCCUGGGUAGCUCCUCUCCCCUUGCCCCCAAAGCAGACAGUCUCCAAAUAAAAUACCCAGGACAUAACCAUGCAUUUGGGCUUCCAAAGUAGCCUGAGACCAGACAAAUUUUUCAUUCUUUGGUGGCUAUCUCUCCUAUUCCUAACCUCAUCCAUAGGCAAAACACUAUAACAUUUGUUAGAUCUUAAAGGGUCUUUAAAGAACAUCUAACUCACCAUUCUGUUUUUAUACAUAAAUAAAGUCAGGUCUAGAGAGAAGCAGUGAUCUUUCCAAGAUUCCAUAGUUGUUUGCAGAAAAACACAGACUGUUCUGUGUAUUCCCACAAGAGGAACUUCUGCCUCAAAGCCUGGUUUCCAUCUGUCCUUAGCCUGAUUUCACUCAGUGUCCAGCCACCUUCUCUGAAGGACUUACUCAAAGGCACAUUCCAGGACCACCUCAAAAUUCUGCUGAGAGCCAGGUGAUUCAUGAAUCACUAACUUCCUAAAUUCAAGGCUCCUAAGGGGCUCUCAAGUAACAUUCUCUCGUAUAACUAGCAAAAUUAGUUUUCCUUUUAAAGGUCAGCUCAAAGGAGAAGACCAGCCCUUUCUCCCAUAGUCUAAGGUCAUUACUGAAAGGCAGCGUUAGGGGAGUGGAGUGGAAGUCAGCUUCGGUAGGAGACUUCCACAGAGCAAGUUCUCAGGACUCUGAAUCUAUAGCUUGAUCUCAAGUGAGGUAUGAAAUUCCACCCUCCAAGUUCGAUCUGUAGGUGGAAGACUUCUGUUCCUGUGAAAAUGCAAAUAUCCCUGUCAAUGCCCCACCAUUACAGAGCAUCAACAAUGGAGAAUCAAAGUGUAUGGGUGGUAUGAAGGGAAGGAAGAGCAAAGAGCUAAGAGGUCUGUCCCAGGGAAGGUGAGGAUAAGAAGAAUAAAAGGGAGAAAGAGGUUCUCCAAAAGCUGACAGGGCAGAAGACAAAGCAGGGAAUCCUAGGAAAGAGGUUUGCCCCAGUCAUCCCUCACCAGCCCCACUUCUCUUUUAAUGAUGAAUUUGCCCUCUUUCCUUGAAUAUUCACAGUUACCUUAAAGAGGCUGACCCUGUGAUGCUCAGGGUAUCUCUAUUUGCAAAAAGAAAGAAACCCAGUUAGCUCCAUUGUGAGAGACGUGGAAUUAUUUCACAGUCACCUCCAUCUUCACCCACUCAGGACUCCCACAUCUCUUAUCCUAAACACCUAGAGGGUGUGGACUACUUUCGUCUCCUAGAAAAAUAAAGGCGCUCUUCCAAAAAUUCUUUAGGAUGCAAAAGAAGAAACACAGAAAAAAAAAUACCUUCCUGUCUUCAUCCAAAUUCAUUUUAGGAGAAAUACGAUAGAAAAAACAACUUUUUUUGUCACCUGGGUUUCAUUGUUUGACAUAAAUAUUUUUGUUCUCUUUUUUCUUCUUCCUGUUGUCUUUUUAUUUUCUGUUUCUUGAUAGACUACUACAAUGAGUGAGACAAACUGCACAGUCUGAUGAUAUAGUCCUCACAAGACUGCUCUCACUUCAGACACCACACGCAAGUCUGGAGGUCCCCAGGGCCACUCUCACUUCACACCAGCUGACUACAAAUUCAAGGGUUCCCACAACCAUUCUCAGGUUUGAUAAUUUGCUAGAAUGACUCAAAGAACUCAGGAAAGUGCUAUACUUAUGAUUAUGGUUUUAUUAUAGCAAAAAGGAUACAAAUUAGAACCAGCUAAAAAGAAGCAUAGAGUGAGGUAUGAGAAGGUUCCAAACGCAAAGCUUCUGUCAUCCUCAGGGAUGGGUUACUUUCCUGACACUGAUGUGCGGCAACUGACACAGAGUAUUGCCAACCAGUGAAGCUCACCCAUGCUUCAGUGUCCAGAGCUUUUGUUCAGGUUUCAUUACAUAGGCAUGACUGACUGAAUCAUAGCCCUCUAGGGUGAAAUCAAUUUCCAGCCCCCCUCCCCUCCCUAGAGGUCAGGCUAAAAUUACCUGCCUCAAAGCCCCAACCCUCUAAUCACAUGCUUGGUCCUUUCAGUGUGGCCAAAAGCCUGUACCCUGAGUCAUCUUGUUAGCACAAACUAGGUAGGGGCCCACCAAGAGUCACCUUAUUAGCACAAACUAUCAGGUCAGGUGUGGUCUGAGGGGUUCUUAUGAAUAGCAAAGACUGUCCUAUCAUUCUGGAAAUUCCAAAGGUUUAGAGGUUACCUCCCAAGAGCAGGAACAAAGACCAGACUUCUUUGGGGUAAAUUCAAUUCUUCACUACAUAAAUACCAAAAAACAAAAAAGUGUGUCUGGAACAUGUUAAAAAUGUAGAAGUCACUGGUGGCAGACGAGGAACUCAACUGUACAGCACAGUUUAGGAUUUUGAUAAAGCGGAUGUGAAACAAGCAGAUGGCUCCACUGCAUACGUAGGGCUUUGGGAGGGGAAGAUGAUCUGCCUCAGCUGGCUGUAGACAGGGCUUUUUUUUUUAAGAGAGUCAAACCUAAUCAUUCAGCAUUGACCUCCCAGAUUAGUUGGGAGGAAUGAGGGCUGUGGAAGAAAGAAGCAUGUGUUGUUACCUUGAAAGCAAAUUGUUGGUCUCAACUAAAAACUGAUUAAUCCCUCCUAAAAUAUUCAAGGAUUCUCUCCCUUUUUCUGGCAAAAAAAAAAAAAAAAAAA
rnacentral:lncRNA from 1 species